rnacentral:lncRNA from 1 species
CUGGCUUCAUCACGACAGGAUGAGUGCAAGGAGAAAGAGGUUGUCGGGGGAAGGAGAGGGCCUAGAGAGUUCACUCUGGGGCCAGAUGGAUUGCAGCUGCUGGCUGAGCCCCCCAGUAAGCAGUGAGAUACACAGACCUGGAGGUCAGCCUAGCUCCUUCCUGAGGGAAGAUGGAGUGGAGUGGCGCAGUGAGAGAAGGGCAGGCCAACAGGGACAGGGGAGCCAGGAAGAUAAUAGAUUUGAAAUGAAGAAAGGACCAUUCGUUGCCAAAGGAUGGAGGAGGGAGACUGAAAGUCCUCAAGAAGCAGCCAAGAAUUUUGGUGCCAAAAAAUAAGGACUUUUAGAUGAAGCAAAGAAAUCUAUAAGCUGACCCACAAUGACAAUCCCUAAAUGCUAGCAGGGAUCUGGGUUCGAUUCCAUCAAUGAGAGGUACUUCUGCAAGAUCUGGAAGAAGGAAGAGAAGAGCAGACACAAGACUGUGUAGUGGCUUCCAGGAAUUAGCAUGAAAGUCACCCGUUUUGGUCUACAGACACUUGUGAUCAUCACUGCAGUCUCCUGCAGUUUCUGUAACUUCCUGACUCUCUAAAAGCUAGCAGCCAUCCUGAGAGGUAAGACUAGUUUGCCUUUACUUUUCUUCCUCCAACACUCUCAGUAGUUUUGUAACCA